rnacentral:misc_RNA from 1 species
UAUAGUAAACGAUUAAUAAAAAAAAUACAUUUGAUUUUAUAAUUUAUUUUUAUUAAUAGUGAAAAUUUAAUACUCAUGUUAUAUUAGUAACAUUGUGUUGUAUUUUAAGUAAAUAUAAAUUAUAGGUUAUGGAGACUUUUUAUUUAACUCUGGUAUUAUAAUUUGUUUCUGGAAUUCCAGGGACGAUAUCCUAUAUUGUAAUAUGACGUUCGUUUGUAAAGUACGUGGUUGUUUAUCAAAUCAAAAUACGAAGAUUGAUGGUCGUGAAAUAACAUUAUUUGCUUUUCCUGAAGAUGACACGAGACGUCAGGAAUGGAUUAAAAAUUGUAAAUUAGUUCUUGAUUCCAGUGAUGAAAGUGACUCUUUAUACGUUUGUGAAUUACAUUUUGAAAAAUGUUAUUUUACUGAAUCAAAUGAAUUAAAAACAAAUGCAGUACCAACUCUUUUUCAUAAUAGCGAAGAUUUGCAAAGAAAACGAAAGGCUGAAAAUAAUAUAGAAAUGGAAUCUUUAAUGGUUCAACCACCAUCAAAGCAAAAACAUUUAGAUGAAGAUUCGCAUAGCUUGGUAACACCACCACAAAGCCCAUUUACACAAUUGGGAGAUAAUAUUGAGGAAUCGGGUUUAGAAAAUAAGACAAAUGUGCUUAAGGAACCAGUAAAUAAAGUUGACAUAACUACAUCAGACAAUGGGCAAAAAGUAUAUCGUUUAACGAUACAAAUAGAAAAAAUACAUACGGAGCCAGAUUCAGACAAUAAGGAUCCAGUAAUCAUACCUAGUCGAGAAUUAGAAAAUUCUCCAAUUUCCAAUAACAGUAUGUUAAUAUUUAAGAAUGAACAAGAAAUGGAUGAUGAAUUGCAAACAGAGAAAAUGGUAAAUAAUAGUAAAGUGAAAAAACCGCAAUGCAUCAAAGGAGCGUGCAAAUUAAAAAAGAUCAUGUAUGGGACUAAACCAGCAUUUCAAUGCGAUGAGUGUAAUAAACAUUAUGUCAUGAAGAAAAGUAAUGCACAGAUAGAGAAAACCAAUGUUUGUUCUGUAUGUCAGAUGUCUUUUACUUCUCCGCAAUCACUUUAUCUCCAUGUUAAAAAACAUUUUGUUUGUGAUAUGUGUCUGACUGAAUGCAGUUCACGAAUAUCGUUUGAUAAACAUGCUAAGUCACAUGUAAGCACUGAUCCUUUAUUUCCUUAUAAAUGUCACAGAUGUUUCGAAAUAUUUGAUAGCAAAGACGAAAUAAGGAAUCAUUACGUUCUUAUGCAUCCUUCGAUAAAACUCGAAGGUAUUGGUAAAGCAAAAGUCUCACCUGUAACAGUGCAAAUACCUCAACAACAAGAAUAUCUAUGUCCUACCUGUAACAUUACUUUUAGAAAUGAGCAGGCAUAUAGAAAUCAUAUCAGUUGUCAUACACAAAAGGAAGGAAUACGUUGCAACAUUGCAGAGCCAAGUAGUAUAAUCUCUGUACCAACACCGAUAACUGGUGGUCAGAUAGGAAUUUUGCGAGCUGUUACAUUCAGUUGUAGAGUGUGUUCGAAAGAAUUUGAUAAUGUUGCUGAAGUCGAUCAACAUACGAGAACGCAUUUGGAAAAUGCGGAAGAAUACAAGUGCAAUAUCUAAAUAUUUUUGUCAGGUGUUGAGAAAAGAAAAAAAGUAAGAGUGCUUAGAUGAUAUCUUAGCAAAGAACGAACAUUCGAGUGAACAACAAUAAUGUUUCAAACAGCGGUUACCUUUGUGGUCAUCUCACUCCUUGACUUGGCUUCCUCUACGAAUAUACUAAGAAGAAUAAUAAUACUGAUUUUACCAAAAGGAAGACGUCUUCGAGUAACAGAGCGGAGAAACCAGAGCAAAGGAGAAAAAAGAAGGCCGACGAAAAAGAUCACAAGGGGAUAUACGAUGUAUGAAAUUUCGAAAGAUAAACUAGUAUGAGAAGAAAAUUCAUACAAAUCGGAAUUAAAAAAGAAAAGUAAAAAUUACAAGAGAGAACAACAACGUGAACAACGAGACUUGCUCAACAAUAAAAACCGCGAAGGUUUCGGGUACGAAUUUAUGAAAUGGAAUAGAUCAAAUGGUAAACCAGAAUAGCCAAGUUACACAAUUGACUAUCGUAAGGACAACAAGAAGUUUUGAUUAAAAUAUAAAAUACAAAAUUAUGAUUAUAGAAAUUGUACGGUAAGUUUAAUGAACAAAAUAUUGGAUUAAUUUGAAUCGUUUGUUAAUUGAAGAUUAAUACGAGAUAAAAGAUGUGAUUUAUCAUUACGAAGUUUUUCUAUGCUUUAUCGUUAAAAUGGCAUAUUUGUUUAGACGCAAGAAAUAAAAUAGAUCAUAUAGAUGUUCGAUAUAGAAUAUUUGUCUUUAUAUUAUAUUUACCAUACAUGCGCGAGUUUGAAUUUUUAUCCAAAGAAAAAAGAUUCCAAAGGAAACGUCAAGAACUAACCAAAUCGGGAAGAUCUUAUUUGGUAUUACGAAAGUCUUUAACAGGUUUGAUUUUCCACGGAUGUAGGAAAAUUCUGUUGUAUUAUUAAAUAGCAUGUGACGUGAUCCGGACUGUGGAUAAAAAUAAAAAAAGGACGUCGUGACGAAUAUCACAAAAGACACUAGGAUAUCAAUGGUAGCGAGUUGGUUUUUGUAUGGUUGUUCAGUCGUACGUCGUUUGACAGAAGGGUGUUUUUCUUUUGGUUGCAGAGAAAAAGAGCAA